AUGUUUGAGGUGAAAAUAACAAGGCCAUUUCUUCUUCUUCUUGCCGUGAGUUGAGAAAGAAAAUAGACACCUUUGAGCUUAGGGCAUUCGGCAAAAGGAGGCUUCAAAUAAGACUCAAAAGCAUAGAGGGGCAAUUUUGGAUAAAGAGAAAGUAAACGAAUAGCCGUGGAUAUCUAGUCGUCGACCACUUCCGAGGUUGUGGAUUCUGACUACCAGUUCGGGGAUCAUCAGCACUUCGUCACACUAUCUACCAUUACGGCAAUUAUGUAAUUAGACUUAGCUUAUGGCAUGUAUAGGAUAGACAAUAUAGUAGAAUGAUAUUUUGACUAUUGUAUAUAAGCCAUAUGAAAAUGGCAUCUUUUGGAUGUUUACCUAUAGAAGUUUACAUUUUAUCCCUGGCUGUGUUUAGUGUUUAUCCAAAUGAUUGAUCCUAAAAAAAAAAAGUUUUACCGUUCUGUCAUGAGUUACAAGUCCGGUAAUGCCCCUUACUUAUUCCGGCGAUGGUUACGGGAUAGGGGUGUUACAUCCAGUCUUUUGGUAUUGAUAGAUCUCUUAAAUGUAAUAAUCUUGUUGGUAUUUCAGUAGUAAAUUUAUUAGGUUCAAAGAGCUCAAUAA